rnacentral:rRNA from 1 species
CCUACGGGAGGCAGCAGUGAGGAAUAUUGGUCAAUGGGCGCGAGCCUGAACCAGCCAAGUAGCGUGAAGGAUGACUGCCCUACGGGUUGUAAACUUCUUUUAUAAAGGAAUAAAGUGAGGCACGGGUGCCUGUUUGUAUGUACUUUAUGAAGAAGGAUCGGCUAACUCCGUGCAAGCAGCCGCGGUAAUACGGAGGAUCCGAGCGUUAUCCGGAUUUAUUGGUUUUCAAGGGAGAGUAGAUGGGUUGUUAAGUCAGUUGUGAAAGUUUUCGGCUCAACCGUAAAAUUGCAAUUGAUAAUGGCAGUCUUGAUUACAGUUGAGGUAGGCGGAAUUCGUGGUGUAGCGGUGAAAUGCUUAGAUAUCACGAAGAACUCCGAUUGCGAAGGCAGCUUACUAAACUGCCACUGACAUUGAUGCUCGAAAGUGUGGGUAUCAAACAGGAUUAGAUACCCGGGUAGUC